rnacentral:rRNA from 1 species
CGGAACGCUGGCGGCCGUGCUUUAAACACAUGGCAAGUGGUGCGACGAACCAGGGGCUUGCCCCUGGGGCAAAGCCCGCGAAACGGGUGAGUAACACGUGAGUAACCUGCCCCGAUGACCGGGACAAACCCGAGGAAACUCGGGGGCUAAUUACCGGAUGUGGCCGCACAGGCUUCAAGGCCUAUGCGCUAAAGGAAGCUUUCGGGCCUCCGCAUUGGGAGGGGGCCUCGCGGCCCAUUAGCUUGUUGGUGGGGUAACGGCCUACCAAGGCAAACGAUGGGUAGCUGGUCUGAGAGGACGAUCAGCCACACUGGGACUGAGAACACGGGCCCAGACUUCCUACGGGAGGCAGCAGUGGGGAAUCUUUGCGCAAUGCGCGAAAGCGUGACGCAGCAACGCCGCGUGGGGGAAGAAUGCCUUCGGGGUUGUAAACCCCUUUUCAGGAGGGACGAAGGUUCGCCGGUGAAUAGCCGUGCGGAUUGGCGGUACCUCCAGAAGAAGGCUCCGGCUAACUACGUGCCAGCAGCCGCGGUAAUACGUAGGGAGCAAAGCGUUGUCCGGAAAUCAAUUUUGGGGCGUAAAGCGCGCCGUAGGCGGCCCUGUAAGUCCGCUGUGGAAAAGUCCAAAGGGCUCAACCUUUGAAAGCCGGUGGAUACUGCAGGGCUAGAGUCCGGGAAGAGGCGGAGUGGAAUUCCUGGUGUAGCGGUGGAAUGCGCAGAUAUCAGGAGGAACACCAAUAGCGAAGGCAGCUCGCUGGGACGGUUACUGACGCUAAGGCGCGAAAGCGUGGGGAGCGAACAGGAUUAGAUACCCUGGUAGUUCCACGCCGUAAACGAUGGGCACUAGGUGUGGGAGGUGUCGACUCCUCCCGUGCCGUCGCUAAACGCACUAAGUGCCCCGCCCUGGGGAGUACGGCCCGCAAGGCUACUUAAAACUCAAAAGGAAUUGACGGGGGCCCGCACAAAGCAGCGGAGCAUGUGGUUUAAUUCGACGCAACGCGAAGAACCUUACCUGGGCUUGACAUGUGAGUGACCGCCGUGGAAACACGGUUUUUCCUUUCGGGACACUUUCACAGGUGGUGCCAUGGCUGUCGUCAGCUCGUGUCGUGAGAUGUUGGGUUAAGUCCCGCAACGAGCGCAACCCCUGUUCCUAUGUUGCCAGCAUUAAGUUGGGGACUCAUAGGAGACUGGCCGGUGACAAACCGGAGGAAGGUGGGGGACGACCGUCAAGUCAUCAUGCCCCUUAUGUCCAGGGCUACACACGUGCUAACAUUGGCGCAUACAAAGGGCAGCAAUACCGCGAGGUGGAGCGAAUCCCAUAAAGUUGCGUCUUCGGUUCGGAUUGGAGGCUGAAAUUCGCCUCCAUGAAAGGUGGAGUUGCUAGUAAAGUAUCGCGGAAUCAGCAAUGGCCGCGGGUGAAUACGUUUUCCCGGGCCUUGUACAACACCGCCCGUCACACCCACGAAGCAGGCAACAACCCGAAGCCGGUGGCCUAAACCUUUUGGAGGGAGGCCGUUCGAAGGUUGGGCUUGUGAUUGGGGUG